rfam:Erinaceus europaeus cont1.289907, whole genome shotgun sequence.
ACACACUAAGAAAUACAAAGAGGGAAGUAUGACUGCUAUGACAGCAAAAACAAGCAAAUAUCUCCAGAGGGGAUUAGUCACAUUGCUUCAAAGUUAACAAAAACAAAGAGAGCAGAGGCAGCUUCACUGGGAACAACACCCGUCCAUCAAUGAGGAUGAGCUAAU